CACCUCUAGCAUUACAAGUAUUAGAGGCACUGCCUGCCCAGUGACUAACGUUUAACGGCCGCGGUAUCCUGACCGUGCAAAGGUAGCAUAAUCACUUGUUCCUUAAUUAGGGACUAGAAUGAACGGCUAAACGAGGGCCCAACUGUCUCUUAUUUCCAAUCAGUGAAAUUGACCUUUCCGUGAAGAGGCGGAAAUACAAAUAUAAGACGAGAAGACCCUAUGGAGCUUAAAUCCACAACCUAAUACACACAAUACUACCCCCACUUGGAUUAAACAAAAGUUUUUAGGCCUAGGAUUUUGGUUGGGGUGACCUCGGAGAACAAAUUAACCUCCGAAAGAUUUUAACCAAGACUAACAAGUCCAAGUAUCAUCCAUCCAAUUGACCCAAUAUUUGAUCAACGGACCAAGUUACCCUAGGGAUAACAGCGCAAUCCUAUUCAAGAGUCCAUAUCGACAAUUAGGGUUUACGACCUCGAUGUUGGAUCAGGACAUCCCAGUGGUGCAGAAGCUACUAAAGGUUCGUUUGUUCAACGAUUAAAGUCCU
rnacentral:rRNA from 1 species